CUACGGGUCGCACCAGUGGGGAAUAUUGGGCAAUGGGCGCAAGCCUGACCCAGCAACGCCGCGUGAGGGAAGAAGGUUUUCGGAUUGUAAACCUCUGUCCUUGGGGACGAAGAAGUGACGGUACCCAAGGAGGAAGCUCCGGCUAACUGCGUGCCAGCAGCCGCGGUAAUGCGUAGGGAGCAAGCGUGGUCCGGAAUUACUGGGCGUAAAGGGUGCGUAGGCGGCAUAUUAAGUCAGGUGUGAAAUACUCGGGCUCAACCCGGGGGCUGCAUUUGAAACUGAUAUGCUUGAGUGUGAGAGAGGAAAGUGGAAUUCCUAGUGUAGCGGUGGAAUGCGUAGAUAUUAGGAGGAACACCAGUGGCGAAGGCGACUUUCUGGCUCAUAACUGACGCUGAGGCACGAAAGCGUGGGGAGCAAACAGGAUUAGAUACCCGCGUAGUC
rnacentral:rRNA from 1 species